AAUCAACGCUGGCGGCGUGCCUCAGACAUGCAAGUCGAACGCGAAACCUUCCUUCGGGAGGGAGUAGAGUGGCGCACGGGUGAGUAACACGUAGGUAAUCUACCUUUGGGUUGGGGAAGUAACAGCCGGAAACGGCUGCUAAUACCGCAUAAUGCAGCGGCUCGACAUCGAGACAGUUGUUAAAGCGGGGGAUCGUAAGACCUCGCGCCUAAGAGGAGCCUGCGGCAGAUUAGCUAGUUGGUAGGGUAAUGGCUUACCAAGGCGACGAUCUGUAGCCGGCCUGAGAGGGCGGUCGGCCACACUGACACUGACAUACGGGUCAGACUCCUACGGGAGGCAGCAGUCGGGAAUUUUGGGCAAUGGGCGAAAGCCUGACCCAGCAACGCCGCCGUGAAGGAUAGAAAUCCCUC
rnacentral:rRNA from 1 species